rnacentral:rRNA from 1 species
AUUGAACGCUGGCGGCAUGUCUAACACAUGCAAGUCGAACGGCAGCACAGUAAAGAUUUCGGUCUUUAUGGGUGGCGAGUGGCGGACGGGUGAGUAAUGCGUAGGAAUCUGUCCUGGAGAGUAGGAUAACCCGAGGAAACUCGGGCUAAUACUGCAUGAUAUCGAGAGAUCAAAGGCAGGGGACCCUUCGGGGCCUUGCGCUCUAGGAUGAGCCUACGUCGGAUUAGCUAGUUGGUGGGGUAAAGGCCUACCAAGGCGACGAUCCGUAGCUGGUCUGGGAGGAGGACCAGCCACACUGGGACUGAGACACGGCCCAGACUCCUACGGGAGGCAGCAGUGGGGAAUCUUGGACAAUGGGGGAAACCCUGAUCCAGCGAUGCCGCGUGUGUGAAGAAGGCCUUCGGGUUGUAAAGCACUUUAGUUGGGGAAGAAAAGUAAUGAGUGAAUAACUGAUUGCUCUGACGGUACCCAAAGAAUAAGCACCGGCUAACUCUGUGCCAGCAGCCGCCGUAA